rnacentral:rRNA from 1 species
CCUACGGGUGGCAGCAGUGGGGAAUAUUGGACAAUGGGCGAAAGCCUGAUCCAGCCAUGCCGCGUGUGUGAAGAAGGCCUUCGGGUUGUAAAGCACUUUCAGUGGGGAAGAAAGCCUUGGGGCUAAUACCCUCGAGGAAGGACAUCACCCACAGAAGAAGCACCGGCUAACUCCGUGCCAGCAGCCGCGGUAAUACGGAGGGUGCGAGCGUUAAUCGGAAUUACUGGGCGUAAAGCGCGCGUAGGCGGUCUGAUAAGCCGGUUGUGAAAGCCCCGGGCUCAACCUGGGAACGGCAUCCGGAACUGUCAGGCUAGAGUGCAGGAGAGGAAGGUAGAAUUCCCGGUGUAGCGGUGAAAUGCGUAGAGAUCGGGAGGAAUACCAGUGGCGAAGGCGGCCCUCUGGACUGACACUGACGCUGAGGUGCGAAAGCGUGGGUAGCAAACAGGAUUAGAUACCCCGGUAGUC